rnacentral:rRNA from 1 species
UACGAAGGGGACUAGCGUUGUUCGGAAUCACUGGGCGUAAAGGGUGCGUAGGCGGGUCUUUAAGUCAGGGGUGAAAUCCUGGAGCUCAACUCCAGAACUGCCUUUGAUACUGAGGAUCUUGAGUACGGGAGAGGUGAGUGGAACUGCGAGUGUAGAGGUGAAAUUCGUAGAUAUUCGCAAGAACACCAGUGGCGAAGGCGGCUCACUGGCCCGUUACUGACGCUGAGGCACGAAAGCGUGGGGAGCAAACAGG